rnacentral:rRNA from 1 species
UACGUAGGAGGCGAGCGUUGUCCGGAUUUACUGGGCGUAAAGGGCGCGCAGGCGGCACCAUAAGUUCUUUGUGAAAUCUCCCUGCUCAACGGGGAGGGUGCAGAGUAGACUAUGGAGCUGGAGGUGGGUAGAGGGUGGUGGAAUUGCUGGUGUAGCGGUGAAAUGCGUAGAGAUCAGCAGGAACACCCGUGGCGAAGGCGGCCACCUGGGCCUAACCUGACGCUGAGGCGCGAAGGCUAGGGGAGCGAACGGG